GCUUGACAUCGCUAAUGCUGCUGCCGUGAGAGUUGAAAACAAGAGAAAAAGGUCAGGUCUUAUUUGAUGCCUGGAAAAUGUGAAACUCCAGUCCUGGUGUCCAACGGGGUUGACCAGUGAUCCAGUUGAUGGUGAACCUCCCAGUGGAACUUUGAGCCUCCACCACACCAUCCAGUGGAUUCUGUGGUUUUUCCUUCUUCUGCUGAUGAUCUCCUGAUCUGGUUCCUCUGAGAGCUUCUAGCCUGAAGCUGAGGAAGCAGACGUCCAUGAAGCAGCUGAGAACGUUGAUUAAAGUCUGAUAAGUGAAGCUGCUGUUUCUCUGCUGUUACAUCAGAUGAAGGACGAGGCUCAGAGCAGAUUCAUGUGUGGAAGAAUUACUGUAAAUGUGGAUUUAUAUUCACUAUUUUCUAAUAAAACUCCCUGAAUGAGGAGCUCUGACUGAUGGAAGAGGAUUUAUUAUAAAGUUAAAAACAUGACUGAUGCUAACUGAGGUGUUAAUUUUUCUUUUAUUUAACCUAAAUAUUUAUUUUAAGAGUUUAUUGGAUGUCAAGUCAUUUAAGUUUGGUG
ensembl:lncRNA